rnacentral:rRNA from 1 species
ACUCCUACGGGAGGCAGCAGUGGGGAAUUUUGGACAAUGGGCGAAAGCCUGAUCCAGCAAUGCCGCGUGAGUGAAGAAGGCCUUCGGGUUGUAAAGCUCUUUUGUCAGGGAAGAAACGGUGAAAGCUAAUAUCUUUUGCUAAUGACGGUACCUGAAGAAUAAGCACCGGCUAACUACGUGCCAGCAGCCGCGGUAAUACGUAGGGUGCAAGCGUUAAUCGGAAUUACUGGGCGUAAAGCGUGCGCAGGCGGUUUUGUAAGUCUGAUGUGAAAUCCCCGGGCUCAACCUGGGAAUUGCAUUGGAGACUGCAAGGCUAGAAUCUGGCAGAGGGGGGUAGAAUUCCACGUGUAGCAGUGAAAGGCGUAGAUAUGUGGAGGAACACCGAUGGCGAAGGCAGCCCCCUGGGUCAAGAUUGACGCUCAUGCACGAAAGCGUGGGGAGCAAACAGGAUUAGAAACCCCGGUAGUCCCAUGA